UGUGUAGGCGGUGUUCUAAGUCUGUUGUGAAAUCUCCCGGCUUAACUGGGAGGGUGCGGCGGAGACUGGAAUGCUAGAGUGUGGGAGAGGUAAGCGGAAUUCCUGGUGUAGCGGUGAAAUGCGUAGAUAUCAGGAGGAACACCUGUGGUGUAGACAGCUUACUGGACCACGACUGACGCUGAGACACGAAAGCUGGGUAGCAAACA
rnacentral:rRNA from 1 species